AUGAAAUUCCUAGUCACUUCUCACGCACAGCACACUGGCUCCAUUCCCUCAUGGCAGCCUGUUCAGACCUUGUCUAAAGAACAAUCUCCUCUUUCUCUCCAAACUUUGUUUUGUUUUCAGAGUUAUCCAUUGAAACACUGCAGGGGGUAUGUCUCAUGGAGAAUAUGCUGUGAACAAGUCCUGGAUCUGUCUGCCUGGAACUUAGGCCUGGUUGAUGGUGAAUUACAACAGAUGCAGCCAGAAGAGGCCAGAGUGGCAACCCGAGCCAUCACAACUGGGGACCAAGAGGACAGUGGGUAAAAAUUCUCGUUGGGUGUAAAAUUAUAGACUGGUACUCUUCCUACCUGCAGAAGUAUCGUGCAACUCUAAGAAGAUAAUUCUUGGAUCAAUUGCUAAAAAAAAUUCACAGACUCUGGCCAGCAGUAAGUACAAGUUCACCUACUCUCGUCUAAAACUGGAAAGAGUUAACAUAUGUGCUGUCACCAUGAGCACAAGUGUGGGCAGGAAAGCCGUUCUCCUUAACCAUUUUUAAAUCACACCCAGGAUGCAUCUGGAAAUGAUGUCAGGCCAAGACAGAAGUAUCCCUAAAUUCUAAUGAAGUCAGCAACAGGAUCACGCGUGAGGCACCUCGGGACACCGACCUCCAAAAGUAGACCCCCGUCUCUCUGUGUCUGAUCCACGACAAAGUGCUUUUGCUAAUUAAAUGCAUAGAAUCUCUUCUCGCUUUGUAAGACAGAUUUCAUUCGUAUACGUUAUAUAAAACCCCGUAACUUAAAAGGAGAAAUUAUAGGACUAUUUCUGGCUGGGAUUUUUUAAUUCUGAUUUUACUGAAUGACUAAGCAGUCUUGAAUUCAUAAAUAUAUCUCACUUACUCAGUUGUGUCCACAAUAGAUGGGGCUGCCAUCUUCCCGUUCGUUGGCUUAGCCUAUUGCCUGCGCUUCCAGAAUUAGAAGGGCCACUGUCUAGACCUCCUGACGUGUGAGCAGCCCAGGCUGUGGUCCUCUCGGGCUGCAGAACUGCUUCAUCCCCACUCCGGAGCCGCCUUUAAUCUUGGUGCUGUUUGCAGACAGACUUUAAAAAGCUGCCCCGAGAAUACAUCCCUGCCAGUAGUUUAGUGUGUCAAGCCGAGGACAAGAAUUUUGUUCUAUUCUUAAGAUGCAGCUAUUUGUGUGGGGGAAGCUUUGGCCAAUGGGAAAGAAAGCCGAAGGUCAGGAAAAGAACUCUGUGGGAUCCCGUGCCCCAUGGGGUUCUGGAAGGGUCUUUCCUGGGAGGAGGGGGAGAUCUGGAAGGGUCAGCACACCCCGGGGGUGGCUGUUUUGUGGCUUCAUGAGAUAUUAACCCCAAGCACUCCAGGGUGCAGAUGAGAGAUGUCGGAGCGAGACGAAUUCUCUGUUUGCUUAAAAAUUGUUUGCAUUCUUUUUUUUUUCCCCCAAAAUAAUAAAAUCCUCUAAAGGACUGUUUGUGGGCA
ensembl:lncRNA